ACCUAGGAGUGGAAUGGCUGGGUUAUCUAGCAAUUAUAUGUUUAAAUUUUGAAAAAAGUCCCUAAUUGUGUGUCAAAUUGAUUAUUGCAUUUUACAUUCUUACCAGCACUGUCUGAGGGUGCUAGAUAGUUCCAUAUACUCAGAAACACUUGUCUGGUCAGAAAAGACGAACUCAUGCAAUAUUUAAUUAUCUUCUAGUAUUAUCUUGAAUUUAUUUGGAGAAAAUUUUCACUUUUACUUCCAAAAUAUUAUUAUGAACAUUUUCAGACACAAAAGUUGAAAAAUUGUACCACGAACCCCCAUAUAUAUAUAUAUGGGUCUAGUCAUCACUAAAUUUUAAAGGAUAAAGGUUAUACACACACACACACACACACACACACACACAAACACAGACAUACAACAAAGAAUAACAUAGAUCGCAGGUACAAAUUGUCACUCCAUAACAAUUAUUUUCUUCUAGGAAUUUUCACUUACAUCUGAUUUUUUAUUAGAUUAAUCAAAUUAAAUCUAGAAAGGAAUUUAUAUAUCAUAUAGUUCUCAACAUCCUCAUUUUCUUUAUUAUACACAUAAGGAAACUGUGGCCAAAUUAAAAUGAUUCGCUCAAGGCAUCAGAAAAAAAUUAAGAAGUGAACUAGAUUUUGUGAUUUCUAGAUCAAAUUUCUGUGCACAAAUCUAUAUUUCCUCAUAUAAUUAACAAUGAUUUAUAUUUUAAAUGAACAUUACACAUUCUUACUACUGAAUUGUAAAAUUACUUUGAAGUUUUUUUACGUGCCUACAAUUCUGUAUUAUAUACAAAAUCAUGCACUUUUAAUAUUGGAAAGAACCUUACUAUCAUAUAAAUUCUAGUUCAACCCUCAGGUCCAUUUAAAAUCUGUCUCUAAAGUGAGUAAAUCAGUGCUUUGAAAUAACGUUUAAUGUAAUUCAGUUAUUUGGAUUUUAUGUAUUUGGAGGGAAACUUCGAGUUUGUAAUUCUGUUUUUUGCUCUCCUUUUGUCUCCUUGUGCCCAUUUUGGGGACACAUCUUCAUGUCACAAACUCCAUCAGGGAAAUUUUCAAGUGAAGAAACAGGAAGUGGAACUCAGAGAAGUCCAAUUUUAUUUGUUAAUAAGUAGGAGGUUGAAAGCAAUGGUUAAAAUUGGAUUUUUAAACUAUCAGUAGAUGUAAUUUAUUCCAUCAUGCUGGUUCCCUAUUUGCCUUCUCUUUAUUGCAGGUAAUUGAGAAUUAGUCACAUUUGUUAUUUUUAGCACUGCCUGAUUUUGUCUGGAAAUGGAAGUGAAACUAUAAAAACAGAUUUAUAACCAGAGGCAUCAUUUCUUUCUUGUUCGUUACUGCAAAGAACAAAACCCGCACAAAGAAGACUCUCAGGAAAUGCUGGCUGAAUGACAGAAUGAACAUUGAUAAAUGAAGACUUCUUCAAAUAACUGAUGCUAGACAUCUCUAAAUAUAUCAGAAAUAACAUGUGACCAUGACAUCAUUCAUCAUUUUUCCAUCAAAACAUUUGAAAAUAACUUGGAUUCAUUUAUUAGAGCUUUAUUUUCCCACAUCUUGCAGUACCCUAGAGUUCUACAGUAAUUAACCUUAUGCUGAAUGGCAGAGGACAUGCACUAAGCUCCUAUUUAAAAUCUAUUCAUGAUGCAUUUUAAAUAUUCAGUAGAGACUUCUUAAACAUGCAGCCAUAGUCUAUUGAAAAUGGAUUUCCUAAAGCCAGGAGAUUGGAUAUUAAUAUCUGGCAUUCGUAUAAAGACAGGUUUUUGUUAACCUAUUAUAAAAAGGACUGAUGAUGUGAUUAUAUACUGUUUACUAGCUCACUUAUAUUUCUGUGCUAAUAAUUACUGUAACCCAUUUGUUUAGUUUUUUUAUUUUAUUUUCA
rnacentral:lncRNA from 1 species